AAAUUGAAGAGUUUGAUCAUGGCUCAGAUUGAACGCUGGCGGCAGGCCUAACACAUGCAAGUCGAGCGGAAACGAGUUAUCUGAACCUUCGGGGAACGAUAGCGGCGUCGAGCGGCGGACGGGUGAGUAAUGCCUAGGAAAUUGCCCUGAUGUGGGGGAUAACCAUUGGAAACGAUGGCUAAUACCGCAUGAUGCCUACGGGCCAAAGAGGGGGACCUUCGGGCCUCUCGCGUCAGGAUAUGCCUAGGUGGGAUUAGCUAGUUGGUGAGGUAAGGGCUCACCAAGGCGACGAUCCCUAGCUGGUCUGAGAGGAUGAUCAGCCACACUGGAACUGAGACACGGUCCAGACUCCUACGGGAGGCAGCAGUGGGGAAUAUUGCACAAUGGGCGCAAGCCUGAUGCAGCCAUGCCGCGUGUGUGAAGAAGGCCUUCGGGUUGUAAAGCACUUUCAGUCGUGAGGAAGGCGGCGUCGUUAAUA
rnacentral:rRNA from 1 species